GAUGAACGCUGGCGGCGUGCCUAAUACAUGCAAGUCGAGCGAACAGACGAGGAGCUUGCUCCUCUGACGUUAGCGGCGGACGGGUGAGUAACACGUGGAUAACCUACCUAUAAGACUGGGAUAACUUCGGGAAACCGGAGCUAAUACCGGAUAAUAUAUUUAACCGCAUGGUUCAAUAGUGAAAGACGGUUUUGCUUUCCCUUAUAGAUGGAUCCGCGCCGCAUUAGCUAGUUGGUAAGGUAACGGCUUACCAAGGCGACGAUGCGUAGCCGACCUGGGAGGGGGAUCGGCCACACUGGAACUGAGACACGGUCAAGACCCCUACGGGAGGCAGAAGUAGGGAAUCUUCCGCAAUGGGCGAAAGCCUGACGGAGCAACGCCGCGUGAGGGAUGAAGGUCUUCGGAUCGUAAAACUCUGUUAUUAGGGAAGACCAAAUGUGUAAGUAACUAUGCACGUCUUGACGGUACCUAAUCAGAAAGCCACGGCUAACUACGUG
rnacentral:rRNA from 1 species